UACGAAGGGGACUAGCGUUGUUCGGAAUUACUGGGCGUAAAGCGCACGUAGGCGGAUUUGUUAGUCAGGGGUGAAAUCCUGGAGCUCAACUCCAGAACUGCCUUUGAUACUGAAGAUCUUGAGUUCGGGAGAGGUGAGUGGAACUGCGAGUGUAGAGGUGAAAUUCGUAGAUAUUCGCAAGAACACCAGUGGCGAAGGCGGCUCACUGGCCCGAUACUGACGCUGAGGCACGAAAGCGUGGGGAGCAAACAGG
rnacentral:rRNA from 1 species